rnacentral:lncRNA from 10 species
CUUUUAUAAUGUAUUCGAUUAAUUGUUUAAGAACAUAUUUGACUCCAUUACUGAACGGUAAGUUGCUUAAAGCAGACCCAUAACCUAUGCAACUCUCUCUGGAAGAGCCUAGCACAGUCUUAUAAAUAGUAGCCACUCAAUAUAAUAUUUGUAGAACUUAAUGUUUGUUGAAAGAACACCAGCUGUGUUUUAGUUCUUUAUACCACCACUGAUGAAACUGACUUAUAAUUAAAGCAAAGUAAUAUUUUUGACAUAACUGAAGAUUUUGAUGAAGACAUACUGAGAGUUAAAGUUCUGACAUUAUCACAAAACUAUAGCAAGUGAAGCAAACCUUAUUUGACAAUACAUGUGAACUCUUUGAUAUUAUAAGAUGAUUAAAUAUAAAAUUGAAUACUAGGGGCAAUUGACACAGUAUAUUUCACUCAGUAUCAUGAAUAAGAAACCAAGACUAUGUCAAACAAUAAGCUAUAAAGAUAAGUUAUGUAACUCUUUAACAUAGUAGUAAAUUCUUGCCAACUAACCAGAUAUUUUGCUGCUUGGAACAUUUCCAUGCCUCAGAUUCCUCUUUUAUUCAGAAGAUAUACUUCAGGAAUGUACACUAAGAAGAUCAAUACAGAAUAUAAUUCAGAUAGAAUUAAAUCAAAUGUGGAAAUUGAAGGAACAUUCAAGAGCUGAGAAGUGAGCUGUCUUCCAACUCACCUGCAUAGGUGGAAGUCUUCCCAGAUGCUGUGCUUGAAUCUCUAAUUUGAUAUAUUUACAAGACUUGCAGAGGCUGUGAGCUGUGUGAAUACAUUGCACAUAAGAACUACAGAUGUUUUAAAGCCUUCUGUGAAAGUGAUUCUGAAGGUGUGGUCCCUGGGCCAGCAGCAUCAACAUCACCUGGAACUUGUGAGAAAUGAAGAUUCUCAGGCUCUUCUCUAUACCUACUGAAUCAGACAUUGGGUGCAAAGGGGAACACUACAGUCUGUCUUUAAGGAGCCCUCAAGCCAGGAACAGUAAUUGCACAGAAGAAAUCCGAUCUCUGUUGGGAUGAUUAGACACUAAAUAUCAUCCUGCAGAUAAUUAAUUGGUACUUCUCAAUCAGAGGUAAAAUUUUGUCCUGAUGACUCUAAACUUUAGCCAGCUUCUGUGUUGUAUCCCAUGACUUCCAACUCGCAGCAUCCCAACAGAUCGCAUCAUCUUCAGAGGCAGAAGUGAUGGCAGUAUAGCACAAUCAAACUAAGCUGGCCAAGAAUAUAUCCUUUACCUAAACCUGAAUCUUUCUACUCCUUAGAGACCAUCCAGUAUUUGAAUUUUGGUUGGGCUAAGAUAUUAAAGAUUCAUUAGUAUCCAAAGAAUUUGGGAAUCAGAAAGAAGCUCAGAACCCAUGUGGUCCAACUCCCCUAUUUUACAAAUUGAUUAUUUAUUCAACUCAUGUUUACUGAGAACCUGUUAUAUGCUGUACAGUGCUGAGGAUACAAAUUCUCAUGCCUUUCAGGAGAUUUUAGUGUAGUAGUAGCAAAUGACAAGAAUAGAGAUGCCUUAGAGCCCUGGCAAUGUGAGGGUUGGGUGGCAGGGGGCUUAAUGGAACACAAUGAAUAGGCAUUCCAUGCACAUUUUGGAGAUUUAGAAAAUGUCUUUGUUAAGUACGGGGAAAGAUACAAAAGAAAUAGAAGAUAGCAACUCAAAAGGAUUAGAAUUAAGGCCCCAGGGAUAAAGGGACUUGAAUUAAAUAUCUAAGAACUAGACUGUUUGAAUCUAACCUUUCCCUCUUCCCAGCUCCUUGACAGAGGCAAAAGGAUGUUGUCAUUAGACCCGCGCAGCAUUUGCCUUACCAAGAGCCUGGCCAGGGCUGUAAGAAUCCGUGUAGCUAGCAUGAAGGAUCAGGCGAGAAGGAAAAACAUAUGCAAGCAAUUUUUGGUGGAUGCUACUGUGGUUUGUGUAGUACAGCCUAUAUGUGUCAUGGAAUUCAAGGAAAUAAAUAGACAAAUGGGCAAGGACAUGUAGUUGGCUCUUUCGGACUACUCAAUACAUUUAUCACCCAUCUAAUUUCUUGUGACGACAGAACCCACCUUCUUGACACAGGGUUGGGCACUUGACCCAAGCAUGGGUAGUCACCGUGUUACCAGAGUCCAGGGUUCUUUCAGUCUCCCGGGAUAGAAAUCAAGAGAGAUCACCAAACAUAGCAGCAAAGAUGAUUUGAAGUUUAUUCCAGCUUGUGCACAAGGUAGCCAGCACUAAGAAAUGACAAAGGAGUAGGCUGCUCCCUGAGAACACUGUGUGGGUUAGUUUUAUAGGGUCUUUGUAUAGAGAAAGGUCACAUCAGGGCAUGUGUAAGAGGAGUUUUCCUAGUGCCUGUGUAGUGGCUCAACAUGCUUCUUCAUACAUUGUAUACAGCAUUAAUAUUUUAAAUCUCCACCCUGGGCAUUAAUUUUAGCAUUAAAAUGAAGAAGCAGUAACUAGGUUGGAGUUCAAGUCUAGCUGCGCAUGCAGGGCUCUGAGGAACCCUAGCCCCCUGAAAUAGGAACUUGCAGUAAAUGAUUUCUUGGAUCUCUUGUAACUGAUUGGAUGAGAGUUACAGAAGAUAGAGCUUGAGAAAGGGCAUUUAUCCUUUCCCUCCAGACCAUCUUAAGAUAGUAAAUAAGCCGGCUUGCCUGUCUCAACAGUACUUCGUUUUCCUAGACACAACUGUUGUCCCAAGCAAAACCAACUACAGUGCUUCUCUGGGAUUCACAAACAGAAAUUGGAAAAGAGACAUUUUCUUACCACUGAGGUUGCUAAACUGGAAGAAGUGAAUCUGGUGUGCCAAUAGCCAUUUUCUUUGCCUCAUCAAGAACUUGACUGCUGCAUGAAUCCAAGCAGAGACCAGCAGAAAUGAGAGAUGAAGCCCUGUGACUUCAUCAUCCAGUCCACAAGAUGGGUUCCUGUAGUUCUUCUUUCAGUUUUGACCAUUGGAUCCUCAGGCUGAAUGGAUUUCAGGGUAGCUGCGACUCGUCAAAGUGUGUGCCACAGGAUGUCUGCAUAAAGCUGACAAGAUCCAUCUUUCAUUCCCUCAUAACUUUGGGAUUUACAGGAUAAGAUGCUGCCAUACACAUUCUACAGCCAUGGCUUCCAGCCCCUGCACUUGAU